rnacentral:tRNA from 1 species
AGUCACUAAGAAGCUAUUAUAGCAUUAACCUUUUAAGUUAAAGAUUGAGGGUUCAACCCCCUCCCUAGUGAU